AUUGAACGCUGGCGGCGUGCUUAACACAUGCAAGUCGUGCGGUAACAGGCGUAGCAAUACGUGCUGACGAGCGGCGAACGGGUGCGUAAUACAUGGGAAUCUGCCCUUUAGUGGGGAAUAACCCGGCGAAAGCCGGGCUAAUGCCGCAUAAGAUCUUCGGAUGAAAGCGGGGGAUCGUAAGACCUCGCGCUGAUGGAUGAGCCCAUGUCGGAUUAGCAGUUGGUGAGGUAACGGCUCACCAAGGCGACGAUCCGUAGCUGGUCUGAGAGGACGGCCAGCCACACUGGGACUGAGACACGGUCCGGACUCCUACGGGAGGCAGCAGUGGGGAAUAUUGGACAAUGGGGGCAACCCUGAUCCAGCGACGCCGCGUGGGUGAAGAAGGCUGCGGGUUGUAAAGCCCUUUCGGUGGGGAAGAAAGUCUCGACCUAAUACGUCGGGACCUUGACGUAACCCACUAAAGAAGCACCGGCUAACUCUGUGCCAGC
rnacentral:rRNA from 1 species